CUUUGAGGAUCCAAUUUCUAUGUCAUUGGUGGGACUUACACACACACACAGAGUUCUCUUCUAACAGUACUAGUACUAGUUUGUUUUUUCCUAUGUCUCUCUCUUUGUCACUGUUUAAUGCUUUUUCCAAUCUGUAGUGGUUGAAUUGAACUAAAGAGUCCCAAACAACCAAAAUUUGUAGUUUUAAAGUAGUGUGCUGCUGUCUGCUUUCUUUUUUUAUCUGACAUUGCACCUCUCUCUCUCUGUCUCCAAUGAUCUUAUCUCUAUUUCUUUCAUAUUACAGUACUUAUUAUCUCUCUUUCUACCUCACCGUUUUUAGUAAAAACUAGAAUACCCACAAAGCUAAACAAUUCUGUCAUAGCACUUCUUUAGCUCUGAGCCUGCAAGUUUCUUGAAAUAACUAAAGGGUUCUUACAAAAAAUUGAAUUUCACUAGCGUUCAAGAAGCUUUGGAGUUCUUCUGAUUAUUUCUCAAAGUGCAAUCAAAGUGAAACUCCAUAGGUGAUUCAAGGAACGGCAACCAUCCAUUGAUUGAAUAGACCCUGUAGUUUACCUAGUUUAAAUCCAUACUCGAUUUUCGUCCAAGCAACAUGAAGCCUCCAAAUUUCAAUUUGGAAUCAGAAGACGAGUCUGAGGUCAGCAGCUGCCAAUUAGGUUCAAAUAUAUAUGUCCAAGAAACAUGUCCUGGUCCCUCCAAGGACAGCAGUACCAAUUCCUGCCUGACAAACUCUUUUAAUCUUCAGCAGGAUUCAAAGCCUGUUACUCUUGACUUGACUCUUGGCUUUAACAGCAGUGAUCCCGAGUUGAACGCCAAUGGUGAGACAAGUGAUGAAGUAGUACCCCAUCCUCCAACAGCAGCAUUAUCCAGGAUUUUCUCAUGCAAUUUCUGUAGGCGCAAGUUUUACAGUUCGCAGGCUUUAGGAGGACACCAGAAUGCACAUAAGAGGGAGAGGACUUUGGCGAAGAGGGCAAUGCGGAUGGGAA